rnacentral:rRNA from 1 species
UACGGGGGGGGGCAAGCGUUGUUCGGAAUUACUGGGCGUAAAGGGCUCGUAGGCGGCCAACUAAGUCGGACGUGAAAUCCCCCAGGCUCAACCUGGGAACUGCGUCCGAUACUGGAUGGCUUGAAUCCGGGAGAGGGAUGCAGAAUUCCAGGUGUAGCGGUGAAAUGCGUAGAUAUCGUGAGGAAUACCGGUGGCGAAGGCGGCAUCCUGGACCGGCAUUGACGCUGAGGAGCGAAAGCCAGGGGAGCAAACGGG